rnacentral:rRNA from 1 species
AUUGAACGCUGGCGGCAUGCCUUACACAUGCAAGUCGAACGGUAACGCGGGGCAACCUGGCGACGAGUGGCGAACGGGUGAGUAACGCAUCGGAACGUGCCCAAUAGUGGGGGAUAGCCCGGCGAAAGCCGGAUUAAUACCGCAUACGACCUACGGGUGAAAGCAGGGGAUCGCAAGACCUUGCGCUAAUGGAGCGGCCGAUGUCAGAUUAGGUUGUUGGUGAGGUAAAAGCCCACCAAGCCGACGAUCUGUAGCUGGUCUGAGAGGACGACCAGCCACACUGGGACUGAGACACGGCCCAGACUCCUACGGGAGGCAGCAGUGGGGAAUUUUGGACAACGGGCGCAAGCCUGAUCCAGCCAUGCCGCGUGCGGGAUGAAGGCCUUCGGGUUGUAAACCGCUUUUGUUAGGGAAGAAAUCUUUUGAGCUAAUACCUCGGAAGAAUGACGGUACCUAAAGAAUAAGCACCGGCUAACUACGUGCCAGCAGCCGCCGUAACAC